GUCCGUCAACCCUAGUCCCGCCCCGUCUCGUGCGGCGCCGGCCGGAAGGAAGCAGUACGCUUCCGCUCGCAGGGUCGGUCCAGCCUCUCAGCCGCUCCCGGGACCCGUGACAGAAUCGCCAACGGCAACAGAAUUGGGCGAGGCGCGGAGCCUGCUUAGCCUACGCACGGGUCACCCCGGGACAGAGCGAGAGGAAUGACCCUCUGGGCUUAUGAAAAGGUGGCUCAUCGUUCUAAUUCCAACACGAAAUUACUUCAUCCAGGAAACCUUUUAUAAUCACUCCGACUGGAUGUUUUUCUUCUCCUUUGUGUGUCUGUUGCUAUUAAUAACAAACACACAUUCUGUGCAGUGGACUGAGGUAUCUGGUAGGUGGCUUUAAUAAAAAUUUUAGCUGUUUUUUCAAAUGGCAUUUGUCAUGUG